UACGAAGGGGGCUAGCGUUGUUCGGAUUUACUGGGCGUAAAGCGUACGUAGGCGGCACUGUAAGUUGUGGGUGAAAGCCCGGAGCUCAACUCCGGAACUGCCUGCAAGACUGCAGAGCUGGAGGAUGCGAGAGGUGAGUGGAAUUCCGAGUGUAGAGGUGAAAUUCGUAGAUAUUCGGAAGAACACCAGUGGCGAAGGCGGCUUGCUAGGGCAUUUCUGACGCUGAGGUGCGAAAGCGUGGGGAGCAAACAGG
rnacentral:rRNA from 1 species